UAAACGGUCCUUUUCAGGACCACAGACAAUUUUGACGUAAACUACGU
rfam:Aedes albopictus isolate Foshan contig282945, whole genome shotgun sequence.